CUUAAGCAUAUCAAUAAGCGGAGGAAAAGAAACCAACAGGGAUUGCCCUAGUAACGGCGAGUGAAGCGGCAACAGCUCAAAUUUGAAAUCUGGCGCAAGCCCGAGUUGUAAUUUGUAGAGGAUGCUUCUAGGUAGCGACCGGUUUAAGUUCCUUGGAACAGGACGUCAUAGAGGGUGAGAAUCCCGUAUGUGACCGGCCCGCACCUUCUACGUAGCUCCUUCGACGAGUCGAGUUGUUUGGGAAUGCAGCUCUAAAUGGGAGGUAAAUUUCUUCUAAAGCUAAAUACCGGCCAGAGACCGAUAGCGCACAAGUAGAGUGAUCGAAAGAUGAAAAGCACUUUGGAAAGAGAGUUAAAAAGCACGUGAAAUUGUUGAAAGGGAAGCGCUUACAACCAGACUUCUGGGCGGUGUUCCGCCGGUCUUUUGACCGGUCUACUCGCCGUCCCGAGGCCAACAUCAUCUGGGACCGCCGGAUAAGACCUCAGGAAUGUAGCUCCCCUCGGGGAGUGUUAUAGCCUGCGGUGAUGCGGCGCGUCUCGGGUGAGGUCCGCGCUUCGGCAAGGAUGUUGGCGUAAUGGUUGUCAGCGGCCCGUCUUGAAACACGGACCAAGGAGUCUAACAUCUAUGCGAGUGUUCGGGUGUCAAACCCCUACGCGUAAUGAAAGUGAACGGAGGUGGGAAGGGUAACCUGCACCAUCGACCGAUCCUGAUGUCCUCGGAUGGAUUUGAGUAAGAGCAUAGCUGUUGGGACCCGAAAGAUGGUGAACUAUGCCUGAAUAGGGUGAAGCCAGAGGAAACUCUGGUGGAGGCUCGCAGCGGUUCUGACGUGCAAAUCGAUCGUCAAAUUUGGGUAUAGGGGCGAAAGACUAAUCGAACCAU
rnacentral:rRNA from 2 species